GUACCAUUCUCGUAGCGUUUCGCAUUUACCCGCCUACAACAGAAGUGCACCCUAGGUGUGCUAUACCAUGCGGGUGGGAAAUUCGGUGGUUCACUCCGUCUAACGUAAGAAUUUAUUCUUAUGGACUGUAAAUACUGUAAAGUGUUUUUACUCUUGAGAGUUUCCUUAGCGUGUAAACGCUGGGCUUUGCCAUCAGAAAUCAACAGAGCAAGGUUUCUACCUUGUUCUGUAUGGGAGGCAUUGCAGACGGUUGGUCUUCCAGUUAGUGGGGAGGCUUUUCAGUGCAAUAUGCGAACUUGUAUUCAAGCACCCGAUACCGAUCAUCGCUAUGAGAGAGGUUAC